rnacentral:rRNA from 1 species
UACAGAGGUGGCAAGCGUUGUUCGGAAUUACUGGGCGUAAAGGGCGCGUAGGCGGCCCUGUAAGUCCUGUGUGAAAUCCCCCGGCUCAACUGGGGAACUGCACAGGAGACUGCUUGGCUUGAGUUCGGGAGAGGGAAGCGGAAUUCCGGGUGUAGCGGUGAAAUGCGUAGAUAUCCGGAGGAACACCGGUGGCGAAGGCGGCUUCCUGGACCGACACUGACGCUGAGGAACGAAAGCCAGGGGAGCAAACGGG